rnacentral:rRNA from 2 species
CAGUCGUACCCUUCGGGUAAUCAGCCCUUUCGGGUGCGAUUCUGUGGAGUGUGAGGAGCUUAACACCUUCAUGCUUUGCAUAUUUGUGCUCUUGGGUGUACUUGCCCGUGUGGUUGGUUAACAUCGAUUUUGAUUAUCAUAAAAUGACUGGAGGAAAUGUAGCUUCGAUCUCGUAUUGAAGUGUUAUAGCCUUCGGUAGAUGUGAUGAUCGAGAUUGAGGAUUGCGAACGGAUACCCUUCGGGGCUACCUGUCUGGUCUCUGAUCGUUGCUCUGGUGCCGAAAGCGUGCUUACGGUUAUCGGAAGUCGAUGGUCGAAUAGGUUAGAACGGGUUAAA